rnacentral:rRNA from 1 species
GACGAACGCUGGCGGCGUGCUUAACACAUGCAAGUCGAACGAUGAAGAAAAGAAUCGAAGCUUCGGCAGAAAUUCAUUUCGGAUUAGUGGCAGACGGGUGAGUAACGCGUGAGCAACCUACCUCUUACAAAGGGAUAGCCUCGGGAAACCGGGAUUAAUACCAUAUAACAUUGCGACGAAGCAUUUCGAUGCAAUCAAAGCUACGGCGGUAAGAGAUGGGCUCGCGUCCCAUUAACCGGAUGGUGAGGUAACGGCUCACCAUAGUGACGAUGGGUAACCGGCCUGAGAGGGUGAACGGUCACACUGGAACUGAGACACGGUCCAGACUCCUACGGGAGGCAGCAGUGGGGAAUAUUGCACAAUGGAGGGAACUCUGAUGCAGCGACGCCGCGUGAGUGAUGAAGGAAUUCGUUUCGUAAAACUCUGUUAUAUGGGAAGAAAAGGACUGUACCAUAGGAGAAAGCUCCGGCUAAAUACGUG